UGGGGAAUUUUGGACAAUGGGCGAAAGCCUGAUCCAGCAAUGCCGCGUGUGUGAAGAAGGCCUUCGGGUUGUAAAGCACUUUUGUCCGGAAAGAAAUCCUUGGCUCUAAUACAGUCGGGGGAUGACGGUACCGGAAGAAUAAGCACCGGCUAACUACGUGCCAGCAGCCGCGGUAAUACGUAGGGUGCAAGCGUUAAUCGGAAUUACUGGGCGUAAAGCGUGCGCAGGCGGUUUGCUAAGACCGAUGUGAAAUCCCCGGGCUCAACCUGGGAACUGCAUUGGUGACUGGCAGGCUAGAGUAUGGCAGAGGGGGGUAGAAUUCCACGUGUAGCAGUGAAAUGCGUAGAGAUGUGGAGGAAUACCGAUGGCGAAGGCAGCCCCCUGGGCCAAUACUGACGCUCAUGCACGAAAAGCGUGGGGAGCAAAACAGGAUUAGAUACCCUGGUAGUCCACGCCCUAAAACGAUGUCAACUAGUUGUUGGGGAUUCAUUUCCUUAGUAACGUAGCUAACGCGUGAAGUUGACCGCCUGGGGAGUACGGUCGCAAGAUUAAAAACUCAAAGGAAUUGACGGGGUCAUAGCUGUUUCCU
rnacentral:rRNA from 1 species